rnacentral:rRNA from 1 species
UACGGAGGGUGCAAGCGUUGUUCGGAAUCACUGGGCGUAAAGCGCGCGCAGGCGGUCUUCCAAGUCAGUGGUGAAAGCCCGGAGCUCAACUCCGGAACUGCCAUUGAAACUGUGAGACUUGAGUAUGAGAGAGGUGAGUGGAAUUCCCAGUGUAGAGGUGAAAUUCGUAGAUAUUGGGAAGAACACCGGUGGCGAAGGCGGCUUUCUGGUCCGGUACUGACGCUGAGGUGCGAAAGCGUGGGGAGCAAACAGG